rnacentral:lncRNA from 1 species
CUCGGAAAUCAAAUUGUUUUUUUCAUUUCAUACUCCUGUUACCCAUAUGCUCCAAUCCUGCAUAUAAUACUGAUUUCAAAAUAUGGUUGAUUUUGGCCCAUAACUAGCCAACGAUACUUUUUUCAAAUCUCUGUUUACUUUAAUCCUAAAAUGCACCCAUAGGUAAACCAGAAACAUGAGGAGGUAUUAUUUGAUCAGGUCAAGUCAUUUUUGCCAUAAAUCUGUAAAAUUGAGUCAUUUUGUUUGACCUGCCAACAUUGUUUCCGGAGAAAAACAAUGAUGUCAACUAUGCUGCCAGUCAACAUGGAAUGGCAGCUGUAUUUGGUU